UCGGUAAGGUGAUAUGAACCGUUAUAACCGGCGAUUUCCGAAUGGGGAAACCCAGUGUGAUUCGUCACACUAUCAUUAACUGAAUCCAUAGGUUAAUGAGGCGAACCGGGGGAACUGAAACAUCUAAGUACCCCGAGGAAAAGAAAUCAACCGAGAUUCCCCCAGUAGCGGCGAGCGAACGGGGAGGAGCCCAGAGCCUGAAUCAGUGUGUGUGUUAGUGGAAGCGUCUGGAAAGGCGCGCGAUACAGGGUGACAGCCCCGUACACAAAAAUGCACAUGCUGUGAGCUCGAUGAGUAGGGCGGGACACGUGGUAUCCUGUCUGAAUAUGGGGGGACCAUCCUCCAAGGCUAAAUACUCCUGACUGACCGAUAGUGAACCAGUACCGUGAGGGAAAGGCGAAAAGAACCCCGGCGAGGGGAGUGAAAAAGAACCUGAAACCGUGUACGUACAAGCAGUGGGAGCACAGAGCAAUCUGUGUGACUGCGUACCUUUUGUAUAAUGGGUCAGCGACUUAUAUUCUGUAGCAAGGUUAACCGAAUAGGGGAGCCGAAGGGAAACCGAGUCUUAACUGGGCGUUAAGUUGCAGGGUAUAGACCCGAAACCCGGUGAUCUAGCCAUGGGCAGGUUGAAGGUUGGGUAACACUAACUGGAGGACCGAACCGACUAAUGUUGAAAAAUUAGCGGAUGACUUGUGGCUGGGGGUGAAAGGCCAAUCAAACCGGGAGAUAGCUGGUUCUCCCCGAAAGCUAUUUAGGUAGCGCCUCGUGAAUUCAUCUCCGGGGGUAGAGCACUGUUUCGGCAAGGGGGUCAUCCCGACUUACCAACCCGAUGCAAACUGCGAAUACCGGAGAAUGUUAUCACGGGAGACACACGGCGGGUGCUAACGUCCGUCGUGAAGAGGGAAACAACCCAGACCGCCAGCUAAGGUCCCAAAGUCAUGGUUAAGUGGGAAACGAUGUGGGAAGGCCCAGACAGCCAGGAUGUUGGCUUAGAAGCAGCCAUCAUUUAAAGAAAGCGUAAUAGCUCACUGGUCGAGUCGGCCUGCGCGGAAGAUGUAACGGGGCUAAACCAUGCACCGAAGCUGCGGCAGCGACACUGUGUGUUGUUGGGUAGGGGAGCGU
rnacentral:rRNA from 1 species